GUGCUCACAUCAGCAGCACAUAGACUAAAAGUAGAACAAUACGGAGAGGAUUUGCAUGGCCCCUGUGCAAGGA
rnacentral:snRNA from 1 species